rnacentral:rRNA from 1 species
UACAGAGAGUGCAAACGUUGUUCGGAAUUACUGGGCGUAAAGGGCGCGUAGGCGGCCUUCUAAGUCGAACGUGAAAUCCCCGGGCUCAACCCGGGAACUGCGUCCGAUACUGGAAGGCUUGAAUCCGGGAGAGGGAUGUGGAAUUCCAGGUGUAGCGGUGAAAUGCGUAGAUAUCUGGAGGAACACCGGUGGCGAAGGCGACAUCCUGGACCGGUAUUGACGCUGAGGCGCGAAAGCCAGGGGAGCAAACGGG